rnacentral:rRNA from 1 species
UACAGAGGUCUCAAGCGUUGUUCGGAUUCAUUGGGCGUAAAGGGUGCGUAGGUGGCGCCGUAAGUCAGGUGUGAAAUCUCGGGGCUCAACCCCGAAACUGCACUUGAUACUGCGGUGCUCGAGUACUGGAGAGGAGAUUGGAAUUUACGGUGUAGCAGUGAAAUGCGUAGAUAUCGUAAGGAAGACCAGUGGCGAAGGCGAAUCUCUGGACAGUUACUGACACUGAGGCACGAAAGCUAGGGGAGCAAACGGG